rnacentral:snRNA from 1 species
AGCUUUGGGCAGUGGCAGUAUCGUAAUCAAUGAGGAUUAUCCGAGCUGUGAUUAUUGCUAAUUGAAUAUGUGGGAGAAAACCCCUAAGGACUCAACAAAAAUAGUGUUAGAGCCAGGCAUGGU